UACGUAGGGGGCAAGCGUUGUCCGGAAUCAUUGGGCGUAAAGCGCGUGUAGGCGGUUUGUUAAGUCCGCUCUGAAAGUCCGGGGCUCAACCCCGGAAGGCGGGUGGAUACUGUCAGACUAGAGUGCGGAAGAGGCGAGUGGAAUUCCCGGUGUAGCGGUGAAAUGCGCAGAUAUCAGGAGGAACACCUAUGGCGAAGGCAGCUCGCUGGGACGUUACUGACGCUGAGGCGCGAAAGCGUGGGGAGCGAACAGG
rnacentral:rRNA from 1 species